UGCUGGCCAUAGAAAAAAGAAGACAGAUUAGCUCGACUCGAACAAGUAGAAGCCACGAAUAAACUGGCAAAA